GUCGUGAGAUGUUGGGUUAAGUCCCGCAACGAGCGCAACCCUCGCCCUUAGUUGCCAGCAUUCAGUUGGGCACUCUAAGGGGACUGCCGGUGAUAAGCCGAGAGGAAGGUGGGGAUGACGUCAAGUCCUCAUGGCCCUUACGGGCUGGGCUACACACGUGCUACAAUGGUGGUGACAGUGGGCAGCGAGACCGCGAGGUCGAGCUAAUCUCCAAAAGCCAUCUCAGUUCGGAUUGCACUCUGCAACUCGAGUGCAUGAAGUUGGAAUCGCUAGUAAUCGCGGAUCAGCAUGCCGCGGUG
rnacentral:rRNA from 1 species